UCAUACAAAUUUGGAAACCGU
rnacentral:piRNA from 1 species